GUCGAGAAUCUUUCACAAUGGGGGCAACCCUGAUGGAGCGACGCCGCGUGGAGGAUAAGGUCUUCGGAUUGUAAACUCCUGUCAUGCGUGAACAAGGUUGCUUGGUUAAUACCUGGGCAAAUUGAUGGUAACGCAAGAGGAAGAGACGGCUAACUCUGUGCCAGCAGCCGCGGUAAUACAGAGGUCUCAAGCGUUGUUCGGAAUCACUGGGCGUAAAGGGUGCGUAGGUGGCGUGGUAAGUCAGAUGUGAAAGCCCGGGGCUCAACCUCGGAACUGCAUCCGGUACUGCCAUGCUAGAGUGCUGGAGAGGUGACUAGAAUUCUCGGUGUAGCAGUGAAAUGCGUAGAUAUCGAGAGGAAUACCAAAGGCGUAGGCAGGUCACUGGACAGUUACUGACACUGAGGCACGAAGGCCAGGGGAGCGAACGGGAUUAGAAACCCCGGUAGUCC
rnacentral:rRNA from 1 species